rfam:Oryza sativa (indica cultivar-group) chromosome 3, whole genome shotgun sequence.
AAAAAGACAAAUCUCGGAUUUCCAUGUCCAACGUUUAACUGUUCGUAAUUUUUUUUAUAAUUAGUAUUUUCAUUGUUGUUAGAUGAUAAAACAUGAAUAAUACUUUAUGCGUGACUUAUCUUUUUAAUUUUUUUCAAAUAUGACGGAUGGUCAAACGUUAGACAUGGAAACCCAUGGUUUGCCUUUUU